UACGCAGGCAGCAAGCGUUGUUCGGAAUUACUGGGCGUAAAGAGUGUGUAGGCGGUGCUCCAAGUCUGGUGUGAAAUCUCCCGGCUCAACUGGGAGGGUGCAUUAGAAACUGGAAUGCUAGAGGAUGGGAGAGGUAAGCGGAAUUCCUGGUGUAGCGGUGAAAUGCGUAGAUAUCAGGAGGAACACCUGUGGUGUAGACAGCUUACUGGACCAUUUCUGACGCUGAGACACGAAAGCGUGGGUAGCAAACAGG
rnacentral:rRNA from 1 species